AUGGCUUCCGAGUCGUUCGGCGAGAUCGCUCUGCGCAUUCUCUACGCCUCCGUGUCGGUCGUCGUCGUGACGGCCAUCUGCAUCUACAACUAUCUCUCGCGGACCCCGCGAAAGAGAUCGACGCGCCAAGAUGACGCAUUCGGGGAUCGGACCAGCGACGCCAUCGCCGAGAAAGCCAUCGCCACCGACAGCCCGCCCAGAAGAACGAGGAUUCCAGAGAAACAGAGAUUCGAUGAAGAUUCCGCCGUCGAGGAGAUCAAUGAGAGUCUCCACGAUGUCUCCAAGGAUUCUUUGUUCUACGCCAAACUCGUCAACGACAGCUCGCGUGGAAAUGAAAGAUUCGCCAGCGUUCCGCAGAGACUGCCCGAGGGCGGUGAUGGUGAUAAAAGCGGCUCUACCGAACAGCUUGUGCGAGACAUCUUGAAAGAAAGCUUUUCCAAGAAGAAGCCGCCCGUGCGAGAACAUCGAAAUGAAAGCUCUGUGGUCGGGAAACUCGCCAUUGAGAAACCUCUGACGGAUGAUUUGACUUUGAUCCCGCCUCGAGAGGAAAUUAAAGUUGACAAUGAUAAUGCUCUCUACGAAGAAAUCACCAAAACUCAAAUUAUUACGGGAGAAAAUUUGAAUGAAACCUCGCCUCAACCUUUAAAUGAGGAGCCUGUUGCGGUUGAAGCUUUCGGAGAAAGUUCAUUGGGAGGAAAUUCUGGCAGAAAUGAUGACGCAAGCGAAAACUUAUUCUCUGAAUUACUUCCGAAGGGAUUCGCUAGUCAAUUGCCUGUAGAAGAGCCUGUUGAGCCUGUUGUGAUAACUGCUUUUAAUGAAGGCUCAUCCCAGGAAAUACUUGGCAGGAAUGUUGACGUAAAUGAAAGCUUGUCUUCUGAUUUUAAUUUAAGGGAAAGCUCAUCCCCAUCGUCCGAAGGAGAACCUGUCGGGGUGACAGCUUCUAAGGAAGGCUUUCUCCUUGAAAAUCAUGUUCAAAAUGAUGACGUCAUUGAAAGCCUGUCCUCUGACUUCAUUUCAAAAGAAAGUUCGUUCUCAUCGCCUGGAGCAGAACCUGUUUUAGUGACAGCCUCCAAUGGAGGUUCUCUCUAUGAAAAUCCUUUCAAAAAUGACAACGUUAGUGAAACAUUGUCUUCUGACUUUAUUUCAAGAGAGGGGUCUUUCCCAUCGCCUGGAGCAGAAUCUAUUCCAGUGACAGCCUUCAAUGAAGGCUCUCUCCCUGAAAAGCCUUUCAAAAGUGAUGACGUCAAUGAAAGCUUGUCUCCCGAUUUACUUUCAGGAGAAGGCUCGUUUCCACCGUUGCAAGAAGAAUCUGUCGUGGCGCAAACUUUUGAUGAAAACCUUUUACGUGAGAAUUCGAUCAAGACUGAUGCCCCUAUCGCAAGCGAGUAUCCCGAACAAGAUAUACGCGACGAUAUCAAUCGAAUAUUACUCCAAGGAAAAUCCAUCGUGAACGAAAUUAAAAACCAGUCUUGUGAGCCUUUGGCCGAGGAAGAUAGUCACGCUAAAAACUUGAAAUCUUUCGACGGGGAAAGCAAAAUAGACGAGAGUCUUCCUCAGAAUGAUCUUCCGGUCAAUGCGGAUCUUCUGGUCAAUACGGAUCUUCCGGUCAUCACGAAUCUUCCGGAGAACGAACCUGCCGAGGAGGAAAGCCCCAUUGAAAAAACGAAAGUCAAAACUGCCUUUCAAAUGGAACUGGAGGCGAGGUUGAAGAAGUUAAAAGUUAGACGAGCAUCAAACGAAGAGUCAGUAAAUGAUACAGUCAAAAGUUUUGAAGAAAGCUUUUCAUCUCCGGUGAACAUCUCAAGGAGCAUCUCAAAUGAAGAAGCAGAACCUGCCCAAUUCGGACGGAAUGUUCAAGUUAUCGUCGACGAAAGCUCUUGUGAAAAAGCUCCCUCAGAAGGUGAUCUGGAACGAAAAAAAUCUAUCGAAAAUCAUCGGCUGUCCCUUUGGUGA
rnacentral:lncRNA from 1 species